rnacentral:rRNA from 1 species
ACGGGAGGCAGCAGUGAGGAAUAUUGGUCAAUGGACGAGAGUCUGAACCAGCCAAGUAGCGUGCAGGAUGACGGCCCUAUGGGUUGUAAACUGCUUUUAACCGGGAAUAACGUCAUGCUCGUGAGCUUGAGUGCAUGUACCGGUUGAAUAAGGAUCGGCUAACUCCGUGCCAGCAGCCGCGGUAAUACGGAGGAUCCGAGCGUUAUCCGGAUUUAUUGGGUUUAAAGGGUGCGUAGGCGGGCUGUUAAGUCAGCGGUGAAACCCCCGGGCUCAACCCGGGGACUGCCAUUGAAACUGGCGGCCUUGAGUACGUUGGGAGUGCGCGGAAUGUGUGGUGUAGCGGUGAAAUGCAUAGAUAUCACACAGAACACCGAUCGCGUAGGCAGCGCACUACGCCGCAACUGACGCUGAGGCACGAAGGCGCGGGGAUCGAACAGGAUUAGAUACCCUGGUA